UGGGGGAUCGUUCAACGGCAGGACAAAUGGCUCUGACCCAUUUAAUCCAGGUUCGAAUCCUGGUCCCCCAGCCA
rnacentral:tRNA from 1 species